rnacentral:lncRNA from 1 species
UCUGACUUGAGCUGCCUCUUACAUUUUUGCUGCACUGGUAAAACUCCCACUUCCUCAGAUUAAACCAACUCCUGCCUUUUAAGAAGGCUUUAGACUUGGCUUGUGAUUAUUGGCUAUUCCCUGAACCACUUCUGGAAGAACCUCUAACUCUACAAUGUCCUUCUUCUGGCUUUGCUUCCCAGCUAGAGCAAAGGUACAAGGACCAGUUCCCCGCUGCCAACCAAGCUGACCAGUGAAGUUCAUGAGUGGUGUAUGCUAAAGAUACAAGAUACUGAAGACUCAAGAAGGAGAAAGGCAUUCAGCAAGGAAAACUCUUCAGAGGAGGAAACACUUCAGUUGGCUUUUGACAGGAAAAUGAGUCCUGACAAUCCUAAAAAGGGGAAGGCAAUGGAGACAACACUCAGUAGAGGGAUAUGCAGGCUUCCUGCAUGGGAACUUCCAGAAGUAGUGAGCCCUCAAAGCUGCUUGGCCUUUGGCCCUCAUCUCUCUGAUUUCAUCUCCUGUAAGCACCCCAACCAUCCUCUACUGCAUCAGCAAAUCCUAGAACAGACCUUGCCUCCUGGCCUUUGCACAUAAUGAGGCCUUGGAGUGUUUACUGGAUUCUGACCAAUGGAGUUUCAU